GUCAAAAUGAAAAGCAGCGCACAAACGAAAUUUGGCGGCUUGAGCAACUUUGGCUGACUUGGCUAAAAAUAAACGGCCGCAAUAGUUGGUGCCAGGGAGGGGGAAACAAAACACACGCACACAUACGGUGUACAUACAAACAUGCAUACAUACAUAUAUAUAUAUAUAUAUAUAAAUGUAUAUUUAUAUAUGUAUGUGUGAGCGUGCGUGUGCGCGAGCCAAACUUUUGCCGUUGGGGUCGCGCCGUGUUCUGCGCGCGCUUUUCAACCCCCACCCAAUUGACGACGGCGAUGCAGCAGCAGUAGCAGCAGCAGCAGCAACAGAAAGACGAAGAAGCGGCAGCAGAAGUGCAAAAUCCGCGCACAAAUUCAAUUUUUAUCAUUCGCCCCCCGCAAAAAAAAAAAGAGACAAAAAUCAAUAGAAAUAACAAAAUACAACACAUAAAAAUGCGCUGCUUGUUGCGCCCGCCAACUUAA